rnacentral:rRNA from 1 species
UACGGAGGGGGCUAGCGUUGUUCGGAAUUACUGGGCGUAAAGCGUGCGUAGGCGGUUGGCAAAGUCAGCUGUGAAAGCCCCGGGCUUAACCUGGGAAUGGCGGUUGAAACUAGUCGACUAGAAUCUGGCAGAGGGGGGUGGAAUUCCACGUGUAGCAGUGAAAUGCGUAGAGAUGUGGAGGAACACCGAUGGCGAAGGCAGCCCCCUGGGCUGAGAUUGACGCUCAGGCACGAAAGCGUGGGGAGCAAACAGG